rnacentral:misc_RNA from 1 species
AAGUGCCUCCUUCUUUUCUACAUUACCCCUAAGAAGAAUGCCCACAGCAUCAAAAAAACCCUGAAGAACGGAUGCUAAAAUGAGCUCAUUUUCAUCUUCUCCACCCGUAACAAAAAAAUGAAGGUCUUGAGCGAACUUGUAAACCACAAUAUUGUUCUCAAACAUUGCUAUCUCCGCCUCUGUUCGAGCAUUUGUCUUCUGAGUUUUGAUGAAAACGGCUUUCUCAAAAGCUUCCUUUGCACUAUUUGUAGGCCAGUCAUCAGAAUAAUACUUGACAGCGACACGCUUCCCUUCGGAAUCCAAAAGAAGAAUGUUUUUAAUGGAAGGGCAAGAUUCCAUUUGGUUUGUGAAAAUUUUUCCCGGGAAAUUAUUCUUCGGGAAUUCGAACGCCGUCGGAUCUCUGUCGCGUUAUUGAAA